rnacentral:rRNA from 1 species
ACUGCUCAGUAACACGUAGUCAACAUGCCCAGGGGACGUGGAUAACCUCGGGAAACUGAGGAUAAACCGCGAUAGGCCAUAAUUCCUGGAAUGGUUUAUGACUGAAACCUAUAUGGCCCCUGGAUUGGACUGCGGCCGAUCAGGCUGUUGGUGAGGUAAUGGCCCACCAAACCUGUAACUGGUACGGGCUCUGAGAGGAGAAGCCCGGAGAUGGGCACUGAGACAAGGGCCCAGGCCCUAUGGGGCGCAGCAGGCGCGAAACCUCUGCAAUAGGCGAAAGCCUGACAGGGUUACUCUGAGUGGUUCCCGCUAAGGGGAUCUUUUGGCACCUCUAAAAAUGGUGCAGAAUAAGGGGUGGGCAAGCCUGGUGUCAGCCGCCGCGGUAAUACCAGCACCCCGAGUGGUCGGGACGAUUAUUGGGCCUAAAGCAUCCGUAGCCGGUCA